rnacentral:rRNA from 1 species
AGUGAACGCUGGCGGUGGGCCUAAUACAUGCAAGUCGAACGAAAGUUCUGUAUCAGCUUGUUCUUGCACGCGCCGAGUAAGAGUUGGGUGGGGAACGGAUGGGUAUCACGUUGGUAACGGGGGCUAAAGAGGGGGAUAUCACUUGGAAACAGGUUCUGAUACAGGAUAACCAUAAGUACCGCAUGGUAACUAUGUAAAAGGUGGCUGUACUACCGGUUUUGGAUGGUCGGGCGGCGCAUUAGCUAGUUGGUAGGGUAAAGGCUUACCAAGGGAAUGAACCGUAGCCGAACUGAGAGGUUGAUCGGCCACAUUGGGACUGAGACACGGCCCAAACUCCUACGGGAGGCAGCAGUAGGGAAUCUUCCACAAUGGGCGCAAGCCUGAUGGAGCCACGCCGCGUGGGUGAAGAAGGUCUUCGGAUCGUAAAACCCUGUUGUUAGAGAAGAAAGUGAGUGAGAGUAACUGUUCACGUUCUGACGGUACCUAAACAAAAAGCACCGGCUAACUACGUG